rnacentral:rRNA from 1 species
GAUGAACGCUGGCGGCGUGCCUAAUACAUGCAAGUCGAGCGAACAGACGAGGAGCUUGCUCCUCUGACGUUAGCGGCGGACGGGUGAGUAACACGUGGAUAACCUACCUAUAAGACUUGGAUAACUUCGGGAAACCGGAGCUAAUACCGGAUAAUAUAUUGAACCGCAUGGUUCAAUAGUGAAAGACGGUUUUGCUGUCACUUAUAGAUGGAUCCGCGCCGCAUUAGCUAGUUGGUAAGGUAACGGCUUACCAAGGCGACGAUGCGUAGCCGACCUGAGAGGGUGAUCAGCCACACUGGAACUGAGACACGGUCCAGACUCCUACGGGAGGCAGCAGUAGGGAAUCUUCCGCAAUGGGCGAAAGCCUGACGGAGCAACGCCGCGUGAGUGAUGAAGGUCUUCGGAUCGUAAAACUCUGUUAUUAGGGAAGAACAAAUGUGUAAGUAAAUAUGCACGUCUUGACGGUACCUAAUCAGAAAGCCACGGCUAACUACGUG